rnacentral:rRNA from 1 species
UAGGGAAUCUUCGGCAAUGGACGGAAGUCUGACCGAGCAACGCCGCGUGAGUGAAGAAGGUUUUCGGAUCGUAAAGCUCUGUUGUAAGAGAAGAACGAGUGUGAGAGUGGAAAGUUCACACUGUGACGGUAUCUUACCAGAAAGGGACGGCUAACUACGUGCCAGCAGCCGCGGUAAUACGUAGGUCCCGAGCGUUGUCCGGAUUUAUUGGGCGUAAAGCGAGCGCAGGCGGUUAGAUAAGUCUGAAGUUAAAGGCUGUGGCUUAACCAUAGUAGGCUUUGGAAACUGUUUAACUUGAGUGCAAGAGGGGGGAGUGGAAUUCCAUGUGUAGCGGUGAAAUGCGUAGAUAUAUGGAGGAACACCGGUGGCGAAAGCGGCUCUCUGGCUUGUAACUGACGCUGAGGCUCGAAAGCGUGGGGAGCAAACAGGAUUAGAUACCCUGGUAGUCCACGCUGUAAACGAUGAGUGCUAGGUGUUAGACCCUUUCCGGGGUUUAGUGCCGUAGCUAACGCAUUAAGCACUCCGCCUGGGGAGUACGACCGCAAGGUUG